CAAGCCCCUUGCCCAGAAGAUCAUACGUGAAUCGCAGAUAUUGGACACUGGGUGAUUUACACUGUAGGUGUUUGGUUUUGCUUUGAUCAGAGUAUGACUGUGCCCGGGUACCAUGUCUUGAAAUGCUUCGUUCAGACAGCCUCGUCCAGGAAUCAGGUCAGAGCCGUACCAGAGCUUGGCUGCUUCUCUGGAAAUGCGGAGUGAACCACAGGAUUUUUAGCAGAGCCUGUUUCAGCCAGUGAUUGGAAAUGAUGAAGUGCUUUCAAGAUCAGCAUCUCAGAUCACUCGUUUAUGGUUGGCCUAGAAAUGAAUCAUUUAUUUUAGGUCUGGGCCUUAAGGGGAAAAAAAAAAAGCAAAAUCAAAGCUUGGAUGCUUUGUUUUCAUGGUUCUCCUUAUAUCAGGCAAGGAGAAGAGGGAGGGCACUGUGGGCUUUAGUGGGAACGGCAACACAGCACUAUUUCCCUUCCUUUGUUGGUAACAUUUUCCUAGCUGCAUCCACUUCCAUUUUAUGACUCAAUUUACUGUGUUUAAAAUUACACCACAUUCUUCCUGCUAUGCUUAGGUCAACUAUACGUACUGUGUAUACAGUGGGAAAUUCUUCCU
rnacentral:lncRNA from 1 species